rnacentral:rRNA from 1 species
GGGUUGUGAGGUUAAGCGACUAAGCGUACACGGUGGAUGCCCUGGCAGUCAGAGGCGAUGAAGGACGUGCUAAUCUGCGAUAAGCGUCGGUAAGGUGAUAUGAACCGUUAUAACCGGCGAUUUCCGAAUGGGGAAACCCAGUGUGAUUCGUCACACUAUCGUUAACUGAAUACAUAGGUUAACGAAGCGAACCGGGGGAACUGAAACAUCUAAGUACCCCGAGGAAAAGAAAUCAACCGAGAUUCCCCCAGUAGC